UUAGAGUUUGNUCCUGGCUCAGAUUGAACGCUGGCGGCAUGCCUUACACAUGCAAGUCGAACGGCAGCACGGGGGCAACCCUGGUGGCGAGUGGCGAACGGGUGAGUAACAUAUCGGAACGUGCCCUGGAGUGGGGGAUAACUAGUCGAAAGACUAGCUAAUACCGCAUACGAUCUACGGAUGAAAGUGGGGGAUCGCAAGACCUCAUGCUCGUGGAGCGGCCGAUAUCUGAUUAGCUAGUUGGUGGGGUAAAGGCCUACCAAGGCAUCGAUCAGUAGCUGGUCUGAGAGGACGACCAGCCACACUGGGACUGAGACACGGCCCAGACUCCUACGGGAGGCAGCAGUGGGGAAUUUUGGACAAUGGGCGCAAGCCUGAUCCAGCAAUGCCGCGUGAGUGAAGAAGGCCUUCGGGUUGUAAAGCUCUUUUGUCAGGGAAGAAACGGUUCGGGUUAAUACUUUCUGCUAAUGACGGUACCUGAAGAAUAAGCACCGGCUAACUACGUGCCAGCAGCCGCGGUAAUACGUAGGGUGCAAGCGUUAAUCGGAAUUACUGGGCGUAAAGCGUGCGCAGGCGGUUGUGCAAGACAGAUGUGAAAUA
rnacentral:rRNA from 1 species